GCCAGUCACUCACCUGGCAAGGAAAGCAUCUUUUGGGGCCAUCAAAUCCAGCCUGUUCCUGAAGGAGCAGAAACAGUGAAAGCGGACACUUGUCUCAGCUGGCCUCUGUCUCUGGCAUGAAAUCCCUGGAGAGUGAUUUUGCAGCCCCCUCUUACAGGACACAGAGUGAAAACAGCAAAAUUUUCC